ACGAGUGUGUGGACUAAUCAGCGUCCAUCAGGAAGUAAAGCCGGAAACUCGGGGCGUACUUCAGACACAAGAUCCCGGGCUCCAGAUUGAUAGUCUGCGUUUUCAGAAUAGUUCUUUUUUUAAUUGAUAAGGGUAGUAUAUCUCAUUUUAAAGACAUUUAAGAUAUUUCAUUUCUUCUUUUUGUUCUCAGUCAUGUUUUGCUUUUCUUUGACGUCGAGAAACAAAGACGAUGGCCCCUUAGCUAUUAGCUGCUUCAGAGUCAGCCUCGGCAUGACGCAGCAUUUCCACCAGGCUUCAUCGCCUUGCUCUUCGACUUCCCGUGCAGACGUUGCUUUAAGGCAGAGGGGCUGAUGGGAAAGCAGUCAGCCAAGUUGGUGGUGCUGGUGAGCCCGCGUGCAAAUGGCAAAUGUACAAUUACGUUUUGCUGAAAGAAAACUAGAAGGUGCUAUCCGGAAGUACAACACAUCACAGAGGAAGGCAAGUUUUCCAAAGCAGAAGAAGAUGACAGAUUCCCUGAGCUCCACCAUUACGACAGGUGCACCUUCGCUGGCAUCAGAGCUAUGUUUGAAGCAGAUUCUUCAAUUUGCGAUCUUGGCUCUCCAGCAGCAUUGAUGUAUUUUUAUGUCUGCAGUAAUUUAAUAUGGAACAACUUUAAAGUAUAAAUUGUUGACAUUUGGGGCUACAAUGUUCGCACAACAAAGCAAGCAAGUUGUUUCCUCCAGCACAAUUUGCCGAGCUGUUUU